rnacentral:rRNA from 1 species
CUUCUCUCUCCUUUCUUGGACUACGCGCUGAAUUUAAGCAUAUUAAUAAGCGCAGGAGGAGAAAAUAACGAUGAUUUCCCUAGUAACGGCGAGUGAAGCGGAAAGAGGGCUUGGGCAAGGGCUGAACCCCCGGUUUCCCGAGCGGCUGAUGGGGCUUUGAGAUGGAGGGCCAAGUAUUCCUGGAAGGGAUCGCCAGAGACGGUGAAAGCCCGGUAGGCUCUGUGUUUUGAAGUUCUGUUUUGGCUGCUGAGCGAGUCGCAGUUCUUGGGAGUGAACUGCAAAGGGCGCGUAAUUCCGCGCCAACCCUAAAUAUAGAACCAGAGACCGAUAGCGAAAAAGUACUGUGAAGGAAAGAUGAAAAGAACUUUGAAAAGAGAGUGAAAAGUGCCUGAAAUUGUUAGACAGGAAGGGAUGACUGGAGGGGGGUGGGGGCUGGGGUGGUGUUGGUUUGGUGGGGAGGGGUGGUGUGUUUGUUAUGAACCACCUAAUCUCUUUGCUAAUCUGGCUUGCCCUGGCUCUUGGCUGGUGGGGAUGAGGAGUUUGUCUGCGUUUGGGAGAGAUAGUGCUGGGGUGACUCGGCAUGUUAUAAGCCUGAACUGAGAGAAUGAAUUGCUUAUCUUGAAUGGGUUUUUGUCAUGAUUGACGGGGGGAGGGGGGGGGAGUUUGGUUGGUUUGUUGUGGACUUUAAAAAAGUGUUCGAUGACCCAGCUAGACCUUUUUCUCUUUCUCUCAAAAAACUGUCACCAGAACUUUUAAAAGCCCCUGUUGUUGUCCACCCGUCUUGAAACACGGAUCAAGGAGUCUGUUUUUGUUGCAAGUCUUAUGGUGCUUUAAACCAUGGGGCGGAAUGAAAGUGAAAGCUUUGAGCUUUGGUGGGACGGUGGAGAAUGAACUCUCUACCCGCACCAUCGGCCGACCGUGCGUCUUUGACAAAAGGUUUGAGUAGAAGCAACACAAACGGGACCCGAAAGAUGGUGAUCUAAACUCGACUAGGGCGAAGGCAAAGGAAACUUUGCUGGAGGCUCGAAUCCGUUCUGACGUGCAAAUCGAUGGUCGAAUAUUGAGUUUAGGGGCGAAAGACUAAUCGAACCAUCUGGUAGCUGGUUCCCUCCGAAGUUUCCCUCAGGAUAGCGGUCUGUUGAAAGAAAAAAGUUCUAUGUGGUCAAGCGAAUGAUUAGAAGAUUGGGGGAGAGUAUCUCCUCCACUUAUUCUCAAACUUUAAAUGCGUAGGAUUGUGCAGUUGCUUGAGUGAACUGUGCAAGGGAAUUUGACGGAUCAGUGGGCCAAUUAUGGUAAGCAGAAUUGGCGAUGCGGGAUGAACCGAUCGCCUCGUUAAAGUGCCCGACGGAGAGCUCAAAGAUCCCAUAAACGGCGUUGCCAGAUACAGACAGCAGGUCGGUGGCCAUGGAAGUCGGAACCCGCUAAGAAGUGUGUAACAACUUACCUGCCGAAUUUGGUAGCCCGGAAAAUGGAUGGCGCUUAAGCUCUAGACUUAUACGAGGCGAAGAGAUCUAGAGUAUGGUCUCUUCAGUAGGAGGGCGUGGGGAGAUUUUUUAUUUGUUUCGAAGGAUUGGAGUGAUCCAGUCUGGAACUCUCCCUAGUGCAGAUCUUGGUGGUAGUAGCAAUUAUUAAGGUGGGAAACUUUAAGGCUGAUGCGAGGAAGGGUUUCGAGCGAACCGUAUUGGUACUCGAGUGAGGCGAUCCUAAUCUGGGGGACGAGAGUCCUGAAAAAGGAGUGUAGAGGAUGGAUUGUGGGUCUGUGUGACUGCGAUUCUGAGAAUAGCUCUUCCUGAAACACCAGAGAAAGGGAAUCCGGCUGACAUUCCGGACCAAAGUUUUUAAAGGGUGGUAUUGAAGGUUUGAGAGGCUGUGAAAGGUCUCCCGGACUUGCAUAAAUUCGCGGCAACGCUUUGUUGGCUCGGAAACGUGGGCUCGCGUCUCGGGAAGAGUUCUCUUUUCUUUGAAAGUCUGUUUGAAGUUACUCUGGGGAGCCAAAUGCAAAUACUGUGCUCCUUGGGAGGGCGGAAGGCGCUUAGCGCGAGAAGCCUCUCCCAGCAGACCAAGCCGCCUUGGCGCUCUUUGCCAAGACCGCGCCGGGACACGCGAGAUCCCACCCAUGAAAAUCAGAGCCAAAAGGAACACGGAACAGCCACAAACUUUGUCGUACCCAUCACCGCAGCAGGUCCUCGAGUUGAACAAACUCUAGUCGAAUGAAUAAACGUGGGCGAGGGAAGUCGGCAAAAUAGAUCCGUAACUUUGGGAAAAGGGUUGGCUCUGAAGAUAUAGGGGGGCGGGGUGGGGUGGGUGCGGUGGGGGGUGGUUGGUUUUUGCAAAAGAACCGGUCCCCCCUAUCUCACUCACAUUCACACAAAACCCACCUCCCACAAAAUAUCGCUUCGGAACUAGUAUGGACAAGGGGAAUCCGACAGUUUAAUUAAAACUUAGCUUUGUGAGGGGGCGUGAGCCUGUUGACACAAAGUGAUUUCUGCCCAGUGCUCUGAAUGUCAAUGUGAAGAGAUUCACCUAAGCGCGGGUAAACGGCGGGAGUAACUAUGACUCUCUUAAGGUAGCCAAAUGCCUCGUCAUCUGUGAGUUAAAAAAAAAAGAAGGAGCAUGAUUGAUAGUAAAAAAAACAAGACUAACUUGACUAUUAUUUAUAGAAUUAGUGACGCGCAUGAAUGGAUUAACGCGAUUCCCACUGUCCCCGCUCACAAUUCAGCGAAACCACAGCCAAGGGAACGGGCUUGGAAAAGACGGCGGGGAAAGAAGACCCUGUUGAGCUUGACUCUAAUCUGCAACUGUGAAGCGAAUUCGCGGGUGUAGUGUAGGAGUGAAUUUGGGGCGACCCGGCAUUGAAACACCUCCACCGCGAACUUUGCUUUACUUACUCGAGAGACGGGAGAGAUGGUGUGAACCGUUUUUCUGGAUCCAAGUUGAUUUACUUUGACAAUCCCUAUCGGGAACAGUUGCUGGCGGGGAGUUUGGCUGGGGCGGCACAACCACAAAAAGAUAACGUGGUUGUCCAAAGCGGAGCUCAAAAAGAACAGAAAUCUUUUGUUGACCAAAAGGGGAAAAGCUCCGUUGAUUUUGCGUUUCAGUAGGACGACAAACUGUGAAAGCAUGGCCUAUCGAUCCUUUUGCUUUGAGGAAUUCAAUGAAGAGGUGUCAGAAAAGUUACCACAGGUAAAAUUUAAAGACUGACCGGGCGAAGCCCCGUUCCCCUUGAUACUCUAGAAAGCUCUUUAGCUCUUUACUAACGAAAAAACCAACCACAGGGAUAACUGGCUUGUGGCAGCCAAGCGUUCAUAGCGACGUUGCUUUUUGAUCCUUCGAUGUCGGCUCUUCCUAUCAUUGGCCCGCAGUCGAGCCAAAGUGUCGGAUUGUUCACCCGCUAAUAGGGAACGUGAGGUAAAAAAAAAAUUGAUGUUCUUUUUCUAGAAGACUUGUACAUGUAGCAAUUGCUAACGUCAUCAUCUAUUUAUAGCUGGGUUUAGACCGUCGUGAGACAGGUUAGUUUUACCCUACUGUCGAGAUUAUUUGCAAAACAUUCAGAGAGGACCAAAUUUAAGUACGAGAGGAACCACUUUGGCGCGCAGUUAGUAACGCGGUUCUUUGAAAGAAGAGUGCCGCAAAGCCACGCGCGCUGCGCUAAUAGCUGAAAGCCUCUAAGCUAGAAGCGUGUCUUGAUUGUGAGAGUGUUUUUGUUGAUUGGGGUGUGGGACGUCUAGGAGCGCAAGCUCUUGUAGCCCGACUGUGCCGUUGAAAGAUUGCAAGGUCUAGUUCGUUAAUACAAGCCUCCAAUCAGUGCCUUCCUUUUCGGGAACACCACCCGACGCUCUUUUUCAUGGGCUGUACGCGGCAGAGAAAGCUUGUUCUUUCGAUCCGCUGAGGCUGCAGAUCGGAAGAGCGUCGUGU